rnacentral:ncRNA from 19 species
GCAUGACGACAGCACUGCCGCGAGGCAGUCGCGAUCCUCAGGGGAAGCCGGUGCAAUUCCGGCGCUGUCCCGCAACCGUGAGCCGCUCGUCGGCAAGCCGGAGCACCUGAGACAUCGCGAGGCUCCACC